GACGAACGCUGGCGGCGCGCCUAACACAUGCAAGUCGAACGAGCGAGAGAGAGUUUGCUUUCUCGAGCGAGUGGCGAACGGGUGAGUAACGCGUGAGGAACCUGCCUCAAAGAGGGGGACAACAGUUGGAAACGACUGCUAAUACCGCAUAAGCCCACGACCCGGCAUCGGGUAGAGGGAAAAGGAGCAAUCCGCUUUGAGAUGGCCUCGCGUCCGAUUAGCUAGUUGGUGAGGUAACGGCCCACCAAGGCGACGAUCGGUAGCCGGACUGAGAGGUUGAACGGCCACAUUGGGACUGAGACACGGCCCAGACUCCUACGGGAGGCAGCAGUGGGGAAUAUUGCACAAUGGGGGAAACCCUGAUGCAGCGACGCCGCGUGGAGGAAGAAGGUCUUCGGAUUGUAAACUCCUGUUGUUGAGGAAGAUAAUGACGGUACUCAACAAGGAAGUGACGGCUAACUACGUG
rnacentral:rRNA from 1 species